rnacentral:rRNA from 1 species
GACGAACGCUGGCGGCGUGCUUAACACAUGCAAGUCGAACGGAAAGGCUCCAGCUUGCUGGAGUACUCGAGUGGCGAACGGGUGAGUAACACGUGGGUAAUCUGCCCUGCACUCUGGGAUAAGCCUGGGAAACUGGGUCUAAUACUGGAUAUGACCUUUCUCCUUAUGGGGUUUGGUGGAAAGUUUUUCGGUGUAGGAUGAGCCCGCGGCCUAUCAGCUUGUUGGUGGGGUGAUGGCCUACCAAGGCGACGACGGGUAGCCGGCCUGAGAGGGUGAUCGGCCAAAAUGGGACUGAGAAACGGCCCAGACUCCUACGGGAGGCAGCAGUGGGGAAUAUUGCACAAUGGGCGGAAGCCUGAUGCAGCGACGCCGCGUGAGGGAUGACGGCCUUCGGGUUGUAAACCUCUUUCAGCAGGGACGAAGCGUAAGUGACGGUACCUGCAGAAGAAGCACCGGCUAACUACGUG